UCGGAUAUGGUGUAAUGGUUAACAUUGCCGCCUCUCAUUCAGCGCGUAAUUUCGCGGCAGCUCGGGGUUCGAUUCCCCGUAUCCGAA